rnacentral:tRNA from 1 species
AAUGAAAUGCCUGAAAAAAGGAUUAUUUUGAUAGAAUAAAUUAUGUAAAUAUUUUACUUUCAUUA